rnacentral:rRNA from 1 species
CCUCGAUGUCGGCUCAUCACAUCCUGGGGCUGUAGUUGGUCCCAAGGGUAUGGCUGUUCGCCAUUUAAAGUGGUACGCGAGCUGGGUUCAGAACGUCGUGAGACAGUUCGGUCCCUAUCUGCCGUGGGCGUUUGAGAUUUGAGAGGAGCUGCUCCUAGUACGAGAGGACCGGAGUGGACGUAUCUCUGGUGCUCCGGUUGUCACGCCAGUGGCAUAGCCGGGUAGCUAAAUACGGACGGGAUAACCGCUGAAAGCAUCUAAGCGGGAAGCCUCCCUCAAGAUGAGAUCUCACAGACGAAAGUCUCUAAAGGUUUGUCGAAGACGACGACGUUGAUAGGUGGGCUGUGAAAGCACAGUAAUGUGUGUAGCUAACCCAUACUAAUUUGACCGUGCGGCUUGACUCUAUAA